rnacentral:pre_miRNA from 1 species
AAAACAUUUGGACUGCCGGUUUACUAAGCGAUUUCACGCGCUCGGUGGAAGAUCUUCCCUUUGUUGA